CAACGGCGUCGAGUUUGAUGUUCAUUCUCUCGUUGUCAAUAAGAUAAGUACCCGUCAAGUACACGGAUAAAUCCAAGCGAUGUCGGAAAGAUGGACGGCAGAGUUAACAUUGGUGGAAUUUGGAUUCAGAACGUCGAGAGACAUGACAAAAUACCAUUUAUUUGCAGGAAAGACUUCUCUCAUAGUCAUCAGUUUCACCUACUGCGUCCAAUGAUACUCGAAGAGAUAAAGGAAUCCGCCUCACUUUACUAUUUUCAAUGAUGUCCGUCAUGCAACCUCUUCCGUCGUAGGAAACAGAAAAGGACAUAAAAAAGAAAGAAAGA